GGCAGUGGUGUGGUCCCCGCCCUCUUCUCCCCUUCCAGCCCUCUCUUCCCUGAGUUUUGAUUGUCUCUGUCCCUUGCCCUGCACCUGACCCGGGUCCACCUAGCAUUCUCCCCACCUGUCCACACCCAGUCCACCCAGCAGGUCUCCUGGGCAACCCACCCUGACGUCACUGGCAGCUCUGGCGGCUGGCCCAGGAGCUGAAGCAGCUGGUGGCCAGAUCAUGUUUCCAGGGAUCCUGAGAAGUUUCCUGGAAAGCAGGCUCCUCAACUUUCUGUGUGAUGGACAUAUGACAACUGAGGGGAAAUGUCCCUCCCAGGGCUCAAUUUCUCCAGCUGUAAAAUGGGACUGCGAAAUGGGCCAACCUGCAGGCAGGCUAUCAGGCAGAAGCAACGAGAGCUUAUUAAAC
ensembl:lncRNA